AAAACAUUUCUUUUUGAUUAAAAUUUAAAGUAAAUCCUGCCCACUGAUUAAUUAAUUAAAUGGCUGCAGUAUUUUAACUGUACAAAGGUAGCAUAAUAAAUUGUUUUUUAAAUGAAAACUUGAAUGAAUGGAUAAAUGAAAUAUAAACUUUAUUAAAAAAUAUUUUUGAAAUUUAUUUUUAAAUUAAAAAGUUUAAAUAUAUUAAUAAGACGAUAAGACCCUAUAGAAUUUUAUAAAUAUGAAUUGAUUUCAUUUUAAAUAUAUAAAUAAUUAAAUAUUUAUUUUUUUGGGAGGAAAUUAAAAUUUAAAUAACUUUUAAUAAAUUAAUACAAUUAUGAUUGUAAAAUUUAUUUAAUGAUUUUAUUUUAUAUAAAUUAAAGAUUAAAUUACCUUAGGGAUAACAGCGUAAUAUUUUUUUAUAGUUCAUAUUGAAAAAAAUG
rnacentral:rRNA from 1 species